UACGGGGGGGGCAAGCGUUGUUCGGAAUUACUGGGCGUAAAGGGCCAGUAGGCGGCCAACUAAGUCGGAUGUGAAAUCCCCAGGCUUAACCUGGGAACUGCAUCCGAUACUGGAUGGCUUGAAUUCGGGAGAGGGAUGCAGAAUUCCAGGUGUAGCGGUGAAAUGCGUAGAUAUCGGGAGGAACACCAGUGGCGAAGGCGACUACCUGGCCUGUUCUUGACGCUGAGGCGCGAAAGCUAGGGGAGCAAACGGG
rnacentral:rRNA from 1 species